rnacentral:rRNA from 1 species
AUUGAACGCUGGCGGCAGGCCUAACACAUGCAAGUCGAGCGAGCGGCGGACGGGUGAGUAAUGUAUGGGGAUCUGCCCGAUAGAGGGGGAUAACUACUGGAAACGGUGGCUAAUACCGCAUACUCUCGGCAGAACCCAUCUGGGCUUAGCUAGUUGGUGGGGUAACGGCUCACCUAGGCGACGAUCUCUAGCUGGUCUGAGAGGAUGACCAGCCACACUGGGACUGAGACACGGCCCAGACUCCUACGGGAGGCAGCAGUGGGGAAUAUGGCACAAUGGGGGAAAGCCUGAUGCAGCCAUGCCGCUUGUAUGAAGAAGGCCUUAGGGUUGUAAAGUACUUUCAGCGGGGAGGCGUUACCCGCAGAAGAAGCACCGGCUAACUCCGUGCCAGCAGCCGCGGUAAUUC